CCUACGGGAGGCAGCAGUGGGGGAUAUUGGACAAUGGGGGAAACCCUGAUCCAGCGACGCCGCGUGAGUGAAGAAGUAUUUCGGUAUGUAAAGCUCUAUCAGCAGGGAAGAAAGAAAUGACGGUACCUGAGUAAGAAGCACCGGCUAACUACGUGCCAGCAGCCGCGGUAAUACGUAGGGGGCAAGCGUUAUCCGGAAUUACUGGGUGUAAAGGGAGCGUAGACGGUAAUGCAAGUCUGGAGUGAAAGGCGGGGGCGCAACCCCCGGACUGCUCUGGAAACUGUGUAACUGGAGUGCAGGAGAGGCAGGCGGAAUUCCUAGUGUAGCGGUGAAAUGCGUAGAUAUUAGGAGGAACACCAGUGGCGAAGGCGGCCUGCUGGACUGUAACUGACGUUGAGGCUCGAAAGCGUGGGGAGCAAACAGGAUUAGAUACCCUUGUAGUC
rnacentral:rRNA from 1 species